AAACAUUCGUGUCAUCAACUGACGUUUCCAUACCAGUAUUGCUGCACUCAUCGGUUCGACAACGAGAAGGAACAGAGCACAAAUAUUUCCGAUUGCAUUGUGUAACAAACAUACAUUCAGACGAGUCAUUGAUACAUAAACGCAAGACACUGUCGAAAGAUAAACAUGAAGAUCAAUAUUCUUCUAGUUCUAAUGACAGUCACAUUGGUGGCCGGCACCAAUCCGACUAAUUUGUGCACACUUGUUUGUAACAGACUUGCAGGCUAUCAAUUGAGUGGAUUCAAUGCACAGGGAUGCCUCACCACGUGUGAAAAUUGUGAUGACGACGUACCCGAUGAAACUACCACAUGGGUAGAUUUCAUGGACGAUUGUACUAAUAAGCAAUAAAAGGAAAAAUUGUCACAUGACCAGAUUGCGCGUUGUCGGACUACUUCUAUUCUAUAUUCUAUAUUCUACUUCCUUAACUAGAUCCUACCUAUGACCUCUGAGCCCCUUCUCCCUGGGAAAUAAAUCACCCACAAUUGCACUUAGCUAAUACAGAUAAGAAUUGACAAUACGCCAUUUACAUUCAUUACAUUUACAUUCAGUUGACACGUGAUGAGUGUAAUGCCUGAUAUUAGAAUGAGGUCAAGGAUCAAAUAGAUUGUUGGGCUUAGUUAUAACUAUGCUAGUUAUUGUUAUUGAAAAUAUAUAGUUAUAUAGAAGUAAUACUAUCAAAUCCCAUUUAUGAGGUAACCUCUGUAUGUCAUAUAUAAGCCACAUACUAUAACACUGACAUAGUCUAGAGAACAAUUGAUCUAUAUAUGCUAGGUUUGGACAACAACUUAACAUCCAUGUAAAAAUCCUGCUUUAAAGGCGACUAAGAAUGUACUCAUGUAAGUGGGUUAAUUACAAUGUUUUACAAGUUACAGUGGAGAGUAACAACUUUAUAAUGGCAUCAUAAGUUCAUGCAUACCUUCUUAUUUGUGGGCGCACUAUAAGUUCAGUAAAAUCACGAGCAAAGGAAUGCCUCUGUCUUAACUUGCAUGUAAACAACAAUCGUAAUAUUGUAUCAUUUAAUUUUUUGAAUGUAAUAAUAACAUUAUAUUUUGCAUUACUCUUGCGCAUGACGUCAUUAUAAGUACAUUGACCUCUUGCGCGAGACAUAUUGCGUACUAAAUAAUCAUGUUAGCUUUACGCGGACGCUGUCUAUACUUGGUGAUAUUUUCUGUGGUGUAUUACUUAUCUAUCUAUAUACAAUCUGUAAUUAACAACUUAUUGGGAAUAAAAUACAUGAGGGAAAUCA